CCAGACUCCUACGGGAGGCAGCAGUGGGGAAUAUUGGGCAAUGGGCGAAAGCCUGACCCAGCAACGCCGCGUGAAGGAAGAAGGCUUUCGGGUUGUAAACUUCUUUUAAGAGGGAAGAGCAGAAGACGGUACCUCUUGAAUAAGCCACGGCUAACUACGUGCCAGCAGCCGCGGUAAUACGUAGGUGGCAAGCGUUGUCCGGAUUUACUGGGUGUAAAGGGCGUGCAGCCGGGCUUACAAGUCAGAUGUGAAAUCCUGCGGCUCAACCGCAGAACUGCAUUUGAAACUGUAGGUCUUGAGUACUGGAGAGGCAGACGGAAUUCCUAGUGUAGCGGUGAAAUGCGUAGAUAUUAGGAGGAACACCAGUGGCGAAGGCGGUCUGCUGGACAGCAACUGACGGUGAGGCGCGAAAGCGUGGGGAGCAAACAG
rnacentral:rRNA from 1 species